CACACUGACACCAUGCUGGGGACCCUCUGCACUCUCAUCACUGCUCUCACAUGUGUGAGUGGUGUGACGGUGGUGACACAGAAGCCUGUUGUAGCCGUGACGACAGGAGAGACAGUCUCCAUAGACUGUAACCUCGGGACUGUUACUAACAGUGGUGCUCGCUGGUAUAAACAGAUUCCAGGAGGAGUUCCUCAGUUUGUAUUAUAUUAUUAUCACAGCGGCGGCUCUCCAUUCUAUGGCACUGGUUUCUCCUCUUCAAAGUUCACAUCCACUCAUCAGUCUACUACAGAUUAUCGUUUGACCAUAAAGAACAUCGAGGAGGGAGACUCAGCCGUCUAUCACUGUCAAACAUGGGACACCUCUGUUGAACAGGGUGUAUCACAGUGAUUUACACUGUGACAAAAACCUCUACACUAAGUACUUCUGCUUUUGACACGCUGACACAUUUUUAGUGAAGCCAUCAGUCAGUUUCUGUAACUUGUAUUUCUUGUAAACAGAUAUUUUCAAAAUGUUAAACCCAUUUAUUGAAUUUCUACACAAAUUCUUAAAUCUCAUUGUAGUUAUUUAUACUUAUCCUUGUGUAUGUCACGGAAUGGACGAUUGGGGACAAUGGAUGUUUUAUUGAUUGUGUAUUUAUUGAUUUAUUGAUUGCAUUUUUAUGGUUUAUGAUUGCAUGUUUUAUGACUUAUUGAUUCAUGAAUGUUUGCAUGUUCGAUUUAACGAUUUAUUGUGUGCUUUGAGUGUUGGUUUGAAUUGUAUCCUCGAUUAACAAUCGUCCCCAGUGACAAGUUACCAAUUAGUGGCAUAUGCUCAAUGGACCAAUGGGGAAAGGCCAGGGGCGGAACUUCUUCUUUUUAAACAGGAAGACUGGACUUUGGCAAGGAAGAAGAGAAGGGAGAAGGAGCAGGGAAAGGGAACAGGAACGGGAACACACCGCAGUGUUGAGCAAAUGGUGAUGGGUUUGGACGGACUAUUUUAGCUUCCUUUAUAUAUUUUAAUCAUUGUAUUAAAAUAAAUAUUUUUUUAUUUGUA